UAAAUUGUGGCAGUGUGGGAUGGGCUUCCCUUCUUUGGGUGGUGUCCCUUUAUGAGAGUGAGUAAUGAGGAUAAUUAAUGUCAGCAUAUUUAAAUGUCUGGGCAGGAAGCAUUAGAACAUAGCCUCUGUCAUACCCUUCAGUCCCUGUCUUCAGUGUCACCGUAGUUUAAGUAGGUGAUGGUUGAUUACGUGUGUAUUGUGUGUUUUAGUCUAUUAUAAUAAUGCUCGUUCUUGUUUUUAUAUCGGCAAGAUGUUGUUGCAGCCAUGCCUGUUAAGUCCUCGGUGAGCUGCGUCAAGUGAUCGUUGGAAGUUUUAGGUAUGCAGGCUGUUGUAUUAUGUUGAUUUUCGUUUAGUCUGAAGUGUUUCUUUUGUGUGUUUUUAGUGAAACAAUAUUUAUUAAGACAUCCUAUGCUUGUGUAGCUGCGGAUCGGAGUAUGUAUAAUGCAAUAUGUCGUUUUGGGUGUUUCUGAUUUAUUUAGUUUUUGCAGUCUUCUGCAGGCCAGUUGAUGACCAACUGCGGGUCGUGCUGCGGUUUUUCAUAGUUUGGUUUCUUGUGGUGUGAAAAUGGUGUUUGUGCUUUUCAAUUUGUUGUUUUUGUGUCUGUUUUGAGUGUGAUGGUCCGAGUUGAGCUGUUUAGGCCGAAUUGGUAGUGUCCAAAAACCUUAACCUAAUUAGUGGUUCUGGUUUAUUGCCAGUGAGGUAGGACGCUACGUUACUCCAUUAAUUGGCCUUUUUGGUUAGCUAUUUUUAUUUUCUUGAGUGAAUAUUUGUAUUUUUGCAUUUGUAUGCACUAAUGGUGGGGUUUUUUUUUUUUGGUUUUUUUUUCUCUUCUCCUAGUUUGGUCCAAGGCUGAGUGUGCCGAAGGAGAGGCUAGUCCCCUGGGUGAAGCACACAGUUGUGAGUCUGGAGCACCAGGGUUUGAGCACCUCUUCCUAUUGUUUGCUGUGCACAUGUUUGGCUGAGAGCACUGUUUUUCAGCUAGUUUGCCACCCCUAAGGUAAGCUCUAGCCUUGUUGCUUUUUUUUUUUUUUUUGUUGUGUAAGUUUGUUUAUAUUGGUUGGUGGGGAAGGUGCAAAGGUUUGUUAUACUUGGAUUGUUUUUUUGUAUUCUGAAUGUUUUUUAUUAUUUUUUUUUAAAUCUGGUGAGCCUGCACCCUGCCUAUUGGUUAUAUAUGUAUUUUCUAUCUCUCUUGUUUCCCCAUCAGUGGAUGUCAUUGUUUUUAUAAUCACUCUUUCUCGCUUUCGUGACAGAUGACUCUAACAUCGUCCAUUUGAAGCUAAUUGAACAAAAGAAAGAUCCUCUGGUGGUUCGAGUAUGGUGUACUGGUAUUUACCAAGAAUAAGGACAACUUUAUAAAGUCACAAUGGGAUCUCACCACGCAGCAGGUCUACAAAAAAUUUCUCACCAUGUACUUUUACUGUCUUAAUUUAUUUUUUGUCAUCUUUAUCAGAUUAAAAAAAUAAAGCCCUGCUUUACACUAAGUGUCAUUGGUGCAUAAGCACCAUGUUUGGUUUUGGUUUUGCCACCCACCAAAUAAGAGAUUUCAUGCAGAAGCAUUGCAUGUAGCAGGUGUUUUGGCUUGAAAGUGUGCAAUGUGAUUUUAUUUGGGUGGCAUAAUUUGUGUUACCGAUAAUUUUGCAUUUAUAUUAUUUUUCAUGAACAUUUUACUUUUUUUACACGGAUCUUACCCUUUGUAGAUGGGCAUUCACACAUUCGAAAGAUCUCAGCCGAGGCCAAUGAUGAGCUUCAUUUGGUUCGGAUUGCUGUUCAGAAUUUAUUGUAUUAUGAAGUGGUAACUCUGGUAUCCAUAUUCCAGUACUCAAAUGUUUACUGCACAACACCUAAAGUACAAAACUUAAUAGAUCAGAAGUGCCUUCAGGAAGAGUGUAUACAGCUAGGUAUAGUAAGCUAGGUAAGCAAGUUCAUCGAUUCCAAAUACAUGUUUUUUUUGCAACAUGUAUGAGUAGACACAGAAGACAUUUUACUGUAUAUCUCCAGGCCAAAGGACAAAUCUCAGGGAUGUUUUCAAGUUGUACUGUGGUCUCACCCCAGGUACGACUGUUCCCGCUAUUCUCACCAGUUACAGAGGGUGGAUGAAAGGCAAGGCCAUUUGAAUUUGAUUGUUGUUCACACUUGAAUACCCAUAAUUAACAUGCCAUUUGAGUGUUCUUAAACUACAGAAGAACAAUACUGUAAAGAUUUUACCUUAAGAAUGCUUUUGUGUCCUAUUGGCUUAUUUGGCUGUUGGUUAAAUGCUAGUGUGAUCUGUAAGAAAUUAAUAUUCUAUAUAAAAUAAUUAUUCUACUUUGAUAUUUUGUGUUGCUUUAGGAAGUUGAUUCAGUUUGGCUUGAUGAAAGGUUUGAUUCAGCGCCUACAGAAGUAUCCAGUCAAGGUUCUGAGAGAUGAGAGGAGUCGUCCACCCCAGACUUUUUACUGGCUACCAUAGUUAUGAUGAAAUCUGUUGCAAAACUGUCAAGUAUUGUCUAUAUGCAGUAUGUAUAUUUUUCACAAGAUUCCUUCAUUUUAACAAUUUUAAUGAAAGUGACAUUAUUCAUUGCCUGUGUUUUCAGGAAUGAGUUGGAUGAGCGCUUGGAGAAUGACCUAACUUUGUUGUUUGCUGGAAAUAAUGUUGCAGAGGCAGAAUUAUAUCUACAGACUAUUUCAGUGAAAUAACUUAUUUGAAACAUGAGAGAAACAGAUCUGGUCCAGGUGCUUUUGCAGUCUCAGGCUUUUGGUUCUGUACUUUUAUUUAUUGUAAACCAACUGCCAUUUAUGAAUAUGUGAAAGCGUUAUAGGUCAAAAUAUGAACACAAAUACUGAAAUGAUUUAAGAUGCAUAAAUGACUAAUAUUUCUACAUGAAAAGGUAGGUCACUGGUUUUGAAAUAAUUUAUGGGUGUAGUAUGGUCUAAUUCAGUAGUAUGUUUUACCACAGUUAAAAUAAAAAUACUUAUUUCUUACUCUGAGGGGGGGGGGGACUGGAAAACAUAGACAAGAUCACCCUGGUGAUCUAAAAAUCCAUGACUUUUAAAGUACCUUGUGCAUUUACUGUUUAAUUAGGCUUAGAAUUAACAAAAUACAUUUAUUAGAAGCUUAAAGUUUUUGCUUUUGCUUUCCUGAUCAUGUUUAAUCUGCAGCUGCACACAUUUGUGAUAACCAUUGCAAUUAGGUCCAUUUCUGUCACAGCAGUUGCAUCAAACAUCAUGGUUGUCC